rnacentral:piRNA from 1 species
UCUUAAAAAUAGAAAAACGUU